rnacentral:tRNA from 1 species
GCGGGAUGGAGCAGUCUGGUAGCUCGUCGGGCUCAUCACCCGAAGGUCGUCGGUUCAAAUGUGACGCG